rnacentral:rRNA from 1 species
ACUCCUGCGGGAGGCAGCAGUGGGGAAUUUUGGACAAUGGGCGAAAGCCUGAUCCAGCAAUGCCGCGUGUGUGAAGAAGGCCUUCGGGUUGUAAAGCACUUUUGUCCGGAAAGAAAUCCUUGGCUCUAAUACAGUCGGGGGAUGACGGUACCGGAAGAAUAAGCACCGGCUAACUACGUGCCAGCAGCCGCGGUAAUACGUAGGGUGCGAGCGUUAAUCGGAAUUACUGGGCGUAAAGCGUGCGCAGGCGGUUUGCUAAGACCGAUGUGAAAUCCCCGGGCUCAACCUGGGAACUGCAUUGGUGACUGGCAGGCUAGAGUAUGGCAGAGGGGGGUAGAAUUCCACGUGUAGCAGUGAAAUGCGUAGAGAUGUGGAGGAAUACCGAUGGCGAAGGCAGCCCCCUGGGCCAAUACUGACGCUCAUGCACGAAAGCGUGGGGAGCAAACAGGAUUAGAAACCCGGGUAGUCCCAUG